rnacentral:lncRNA from 10 species
AAUGUGAAGAUGUCAGUAUGUUUUAUUGAUUUAUGCUUUUGUAUUUAUUGUUCUUUUAGUGUGGAAAUGGGCACCUUUGACUGAACCAUGUUUCUUGCUCGGUAUUGAAAAAUGACCUCAUUCCUUUAUCUGUGUAUCAGCUGUCAAUCUGCUACGCUGGUCUCCAGGAAUCUAGUCAGAUUCAAACCUGCUCCAUGUGUUUCAUCAUUCUGGAACCUGGGACCUGGAAGUGCUCUUCUUAUGAAGAUCACAGGAAAGCAGAUGAGUAAACCAAACUGUGCAAGCACACUUAAGCCCUCUGCUGCAACAUGUUUGCUAAUACUCAAUUCAAUAUUAUUGAAAACGAGUAAGGAAACAACAUGACAGAAUAUGAUUUGAAUGUUUGGAAUCUUGGGAUCUGACCCAAAUACUUUAACAAAAUUAGUUCUUUAUUUUACUGAAGUGGUAUUAAUUUUUUGUCAGAUAUAUG